rnacentral:rRNA from 1 species
UACAUGGGGUGCAAACGUUGCUCGGAAUCAUUGGGCGUAAAGCGCGCGUAGGCGGUUACUUAAGUCGAAUGUGAAAGCCCUCGGCUUAACCGAGGAAGUGCAUCCGAAACUGAGUAGCUAGAGUACGAAAGAGGGUCGCGGAAUUCCCGGUGUAGAGGUGAAAUUCAUAGAUAUCGGGAGGAACACCGGUGGCGAAGGCGGCGACCUGGGUCGAGACUGACGCUGAGGCGCGAAAGCGUGGGGAGCAAACAGG